rnacentral:ncRNA from 2 species
UUUUAUCAGGUCACUUGAGGUGCCGCUUUCUAGGGAAGGCGGAUAAUUGGGAAGCCGGUUAUAAUCCCGGCGCUGCCCCCGCAACGGUAGUGGAGUGAAACGCGGCAAAAUAGCCACUGGGAUAGUAUUCCGGGAAGGCGCCGUGAAGUCCCGGAAGGGAACUCCAGAGCCCGGAAACCAGCCGCAAGCGAUAACACCGA